CCAGAGAUUUAUCAAUAAACAGGAAGUUUAUUUGUACUUUAGUUUUUUCUCCACAGUUGUUAAACAUCAGAUCACAGUGUGUUUGUGAACAUGAAUGUGUUUGAGUGUUUGUGCAUCAUGUGACCCAGAUUGUCUUCAUCUGCUGUCAGAUUCAAAUCAGGAAGAUGAAACCACACAGCAGCUUCAGCUGAGCUGUCAGUCUGCAGCAGCAGUCUUCUCUGUGAGCUGCAGGGGCUGAUGGGAGCUUGGAGGAGGAGUCACAAAGCACGUGGUCCUGCUGUCAUCUCACAGCUCGUCCUUCUUUGUCCUCAGCUGCAUCAGAACACCACUUCUCCUCAGGUUCACCAGAGGAAACACGGCUGAACAAAAUGCUUUUCCUCCCAGCUGCUGCUCUGUGCUGUCUGUGUUCAGCACUGGUUACCAUGGCAGCAGAACUCAUUCAGGAGGAUUUAACAUUGACCAGGAGAGUUGGUCAAAGUGUCUCUUUCAGCUGUGGAGGAACUCAGGAGUGUAGUGAGGAUUAUGUGUUCUGGUACCAGAAGAAAGAAACAGAAACAUUCAGAGUGAUUCUUGAUAUUGAUAGAAGAGAUGGUGCAUUAGAUAAACGUUAUGGUCAUCCUCAACAAGAUGAUUUCACAUCUGAAAAUGCAAAUAGAGGAUAUGAAUUAAAGAUCAAUAAAGUCAAAGUGGAUCAUUCAGCCUCCUAUUACUGCAGCUGCUGGAAGAGAGAUCCCCACAAAACUCAGUUUCACGGCGAGGGUUUGUCAGAGGCUGGCGGAGACGGAGGUCAGGGACAGCACACUUUCUCAAUGUGUCUGUCGAGCUAUCCAUACCUCAACUUUGGAUCUGGAACUGGACUGUUUGUAUCGGAUGAGUCCGUAGUGAAGCCCGUGGUGAGCGUGUACCCAGCAGCAUCC